rnacentral:rRNA from 1 species
UACGAAGGGGGCUAGCGUUGUUCGGAAUUACUGGGCGUAAAGCGCGUGUAGGCGGGUCUUUAAGUCCGGGGUGAAAUGCCAAGGCUCAACCUUGGAACUGCCUUUGAUACUGGAGACCUUGAGUCCGGGAGAGGUGAGUGGAAUUGCGAGUGUAGAGGUGAAAUUCGUAGAUAUUCGCAAGAACACCAGUGGCGAAGGCGGCUCACUGGCUCGGUACUGACGCUGAGGUGCGAAAGCGUGGGGAGCAAACAGG